rnacentral:rRNA from 1 species
UACGUAGGCGGAAAAUUAAGUCAGUAGUGAAAUCCUGCAGCUUAACUGUAGAACUGUUAUUGAUACUGGUUUUCUUGAAUAUAGUUGAGGUAAGCGGAAUGUGUAAUGUAGCGGUGAAAUGCUUAGAUAUUACACAGAACACCGAUUGCGAAGGCAGCUUACUAAGCUAUGAUUGACGCUAAGGUACGAAAGCGUGGGGAGCGAACAGGAUUAGAUACCCUGGUAGUCC